UUUUUCUAGUCUGAAUAGGAACCAUCUUGCCCACUCCACUUGUUGAUGCUUGCUACAACAUCUUCACACCUCCAUACUGAGGUAGGAUAACCUUGCCAAGGAGGAAAGGAAUUUGGACAGCCUCAGCAUAAAGGCUAUGUAGUUUGCCCUAUCUGGACACUGAAAUUAAGAGAGAAUCUAUUCAUUCCCCACCUGACACAGCCCACCAGACUUAAAAGGUGUUCUAACCUGCAAGGGAGAUUGGGUCAAACACCCACUAAUCCACCCCAACCUGUCUACAUAACAAAGUCCAUUUGAUUCCUCUGGCUAUCAAGUCUCUACAUUUCUGUGUUGGAUGUGAAGAGCAAAGGAAGAGUCUGGCAGAAACUAGAAGGUUUCCGAGUUGGCAUAAGAGACAACACCAGGCCGGAGCCGUCAGGGAAGUCAGAGGCGAGGUUCAUGCUCAGCCCCAUGGCUGCCACAGCCCACUCCUCUGGCCUCCCGUCCCAGCAGCCAGUUUCCAGGGACCUCAUCUCUCCACCUUUCUGUGAGGAAAAAUAAACAAGUUUGAGGCUCCUGU